rnacentral:lncRNA from 1 species
AUGUUUAUUUUUGUUUCCCGAGUGUCUUUAUUUCAAUAAACCAAACAUCGAUGGGUUCUGAAAAUCUAUAGCUCAGAACAGUGUUGUUAAAUAGUAGUGAUAGCAGCACUGUAUCGUAGCAAAAUUUGCACAAAUCGCUAUUCCAUUGUUUAUUAGCCAAAGACUGUUUGAACUAUUUAGCUAUUUGACUUGUGCAUUUUCAUGGUUG